GCUUAGCCCUAAACCUCAGUAGUUAGACAACAAAACUACUCGCCAGAAUACUACAAGCAACAGCUUGAAACUCAAAGGACUUGGCGGUGCUUCACACCCCCUAGAGGAGCCUGUCCCGUAAUCGAUAAACCCCGAUCCACCCCACCCUCUCUUGCUCAGCCUAUAUACCGCCAUCUUCAGCAAACUCUGAUAAAGACUACAAAGUGAGCGCAAAUGCCCUUCCUCGCAAAAACGUUAGGUCAAGGUGUAGCCCAUGAGACGGUAAAAGAUGGGCUACAUUUUCUAUCUCAGAAAACCCCACGAUAACUCUUAUGAAACCUAAGAGUCCAAGGAGGAUUUAGCAGUAAAUUAAGAAUAGAGUGCUUAAUUGAACUAGGCCAUAAAGCACGC
rnacentral:rRNA from 1 species